CCUACGGGAGGCAGCAGUGGGGAAUCUUGCGCAAUGGGCGAAAGCCUGACGCAGCAACGCCGCGUGAGGGACGAAGGUUUUCUGAAUUGUAAACCUCUUUCAGCAGGGAAGAUAAUGACGGUACCUGCAGAAGAAGCACCGGCUAACUACGUGCCAGCAGCCGCGGUGAUACGUAGGGUGCAAGCGUUGUCCGGAUUUAUUGGGCGUAAAGAGCUCGUAGGCGGUUUGGUAAGUCGGUUGUGAAAUCCCCAGGCUCAACCUGGGGCCUGCAUUCGAUACUGCCAUGACUAGAGUUUGGUAGGGGACCACGGAAUUCCUGGUGUAGCGGUGGAAUGCGCAGAUAUCAGGAGGAACACCAGUAGCGAAGGCGGUGGUCUGGGCCAAUACUGACGCUGAGGAGCGAAAGCGUGGGGAGCAAACAGGAUUAGAUACCCUGGUAGUCCACGCCGUAAACGGUGGGCACUAGGUGUGGGGACUAUUCAACGGUUUCCGCGCCGACGCUAACGCAUUAAGUGCCCCGCCUGGGGAGGUACGGCCGCGAGACGUAAACGUACGAAGAAGUAGUAACGG
rnacentral:rRNA from 1 species